rnacentral:lncRNA from 1 species
AAGAUUUUAGUGUAGCCUAUAUGCCUUACCAGGUUCAAGUUCUGCCCACGAAAAACAAGAUUUUAGGGCUUCAAGAAUAUCUGCAACAAGUACUAUUAAUUUUCAACAUUAACACUUUGAAACAAUUGUGAAAUCAAUAAUUAGUUUGACAUCCUGUUUUGUUUCUGGAGAGCACUUGGGCGAACUAAAAGAUUGUGACACACUGAAAUGUAGUAGUACAUUGCAUGAUAAGCUGACGAUCCCAGGUUUUACAUGCACUUUCACAAACCAAAGUAAGACACCAGUAAUUCCCCUUGAGCUGCUCCACAAACUCGUCCAAGUGAGGACCCGCCCCUUCCUUAUACUGGUCAAGGCAGGAGCUUCUGUUUCCUGUGCAAAUUGCCGAGCCGGCACAAGAACCUGCUAUUCCCCUGGUUCUGUAGACUUGUGAAUCCUAGUAUACCAAUUACCAAGAUAGAGAUAACAAAAAAAAAGUUAGAGAUAACAAAAGCAUUUCGUUUUCAGUGUGAAAACUAAUGGCAAGAUCUCAUGUAGUGUAUAAAGAAUUAAAGAUGUUUCUCCAGUGAGGCCUUCUACAAUGUACAUAACAAGUAGUCGUAUUAAGCGGCAUAUAAAGAUGUUUGUUUCUGUAUACUAGUCCAUUUUUUUCAGGCUCUCAUUUUAUUAAGCAGCGUAAAGCACUGUCACUUGUCUAAAGGCCAAUUACUCAAGACUUGGCCCAACACUUUAGCCAACAGUAAUUGAAAGAGAGACCUUAAUACUGUAGAAAGAUACUAUUAAGCUGGUGAGCAUGUCCAUAUAUGACACAAACCAUUCUUUUUGCUAGGAGUUCAGAAGGCAUCUUUCAAUGGAGCUCAGUUGCUCGGCGUUGCCCUCGCCGUAAGUCCAGAACUGGCUCGGUUCCUAUUUGAACGAACAAUUAGAAGAACAACAUUCACUAGAGCAGUGUGACGGAUUGAUUCAGAAAGAAAAGAAAUCUUGCAAACACGCAGACGCCAGUUAGAACAGCAGUGAUAGUACUGCACCAUACAUAUGCCUUGACAGCUUGAAUUUCAAUCCUAACUAAUAUCAUCAGCUAAUUUUCGGAAUCUCCAACCCAGAUUUGAAUGGAGGACGGCUCCUCAGCUACAAACCUGCGUUUCCAAACCAGUCUUCGAGUCGUCCUAGCCGAAGUCGCGUGCAUCGCCGGCUCGGACGCCACGCGAAAGUGGAUUGGAGGAGCUACCAUCUACCACUUCAGAUCUGGAAAAGGGGGGAUCAGGUCGGUAGCAGAACUUAGGUGAGAAUCGAGGUAUAUUUCCACCGGAUCCGAUGAACUAUGUGGACACUAACCUGGAGCUUCCCUCAAAAUCCAGAUCGAUGACGAUCGACGCCGGGAUGAUGAUACCAUGAGCGGCGACAGUCUCCUCUAUUCCUUCCAGCGGUGAUGCAUGGCGAUGGUGGAGUUCGACGCGUCCUUUUAUCAUCUCCGCCGAUCUCAGUGGACUCCAUCGGCAGCUAUGACGGGUGUUUGGGCAGAGUCUAUUCUGUGCGGGUAGGUGGGUGGGGUUGAGGACGCGGGC